CUAAAAAGGUGGACAGAAUAAUAUCCGACGUAGAUCAUCCCUGCUUCUUGUCAAGGGGAUGCUUGUUUUCUCAUCCCGGGGACAACGAUUUCAUAAUCAAGUAGAGGACUAUGGUAAUGCACGCUGUAAUCGAUACUAUAUGCGGCAGCUAAUCGUCUGGCAAAACAUGAUAGUGGAGUCCGAGAUUAUUGAUUUCGGGAUUCCGUACCUCUGUGGUAUCGGGGGUUAUCGCCUGCCCCUUUGAUAAAGGAAAACUCGACAUUCGUCGAAGUCCCCUCGAUCCCGACUUGCCUACUUCAAAGGCGAGGAGGAAAGCGAACCGUGCGUAAGAGAGGGACGACUGGUGACGAGAAAACUCGGACACGUUUGCGAUCGGCGAUCGAGCCACCUAGGCGUCACGGAGGGUGGCGAAGGGGAGGACGAACGGGAUUGGGAGAACGCAUCUUCCAAAAUUGAGCGGGGGCACUCCGCCCCACCCUGGGGUCGGUACUUUGCUGAGCAAGAGCUUUGGAGAGGCGCCAGCCAAGCGGUCGAGCCGAAACCUCUUGAGAUUGGAUCGGUGAACGAGAAGGGCUCAAUGGCUACAUUGUCUCACGUUACCACGUGUCGAGUAAAGAGAUUUAAGGUCCAGAGGAUCUAAAAGACGAAAGGAAGUUAUACAUGUAAUGGGAACUAAAAGUCAGGGAACGGGGGUGCAGACCAUUAGUAAGUUCUUACGUAAAUUCUGCGGUUGAAUCGCUGGAUGUUCAUGUAUGCCUAGGUACGUGUCACGUAUGCGAUUCACAUGUUAAUGAGGAUGGAAAAGGGAAUUACAGAACAAGGGCGGUCAUUGAAAGAGCUUCUCCAGGUACAUCCCCUAAAGAGACUGGACGCUGUUUCGAGGAAGCAGUCGCGAGUAAAUUCUAUAUCUCUAACUCCUGGGCACAAAAACUCAAUUACCAAUUGCUUACCCGAAGCGGUCGGACCGACGUCCAGGAGCGUAGCUAACGCAAUAACCUCAGGAAUACAAUCCAGGAGCCCUGACCAGCGCAAGGAAAAAGUUCGGAGAAGUCGGGGUCCGAAGAAACGGUUGCCGUCACGUUUCCGGCAUCCGACCG